AAAAAAAAAAAAAAACUCAGACAAUUCAAAUGCAAGGUACCACAAACUACGCAGACUUUCCAAUGCCUUGUGCUUGAGACAUGCAGUUGGCAGUUUGACCCUUAAUCCCUUUGCAGUUCACAUACUAAAAGAGAAAGAGUAGGGUUCCAGAACUUGUUGCGCCCCCCGCCCCAAAAACCCACCAUGUGGGAGGACUUUUCAGUUCAUCCAAUUGUAUAGGGUAACAUUGGACUUUUCAGUUCAUCCAAUCAUAUAGGGUAACAUUUCUUCUUUUGCAAGAUUAAUAUAAUGACAAAGAAAAAUAACUCUCUUAACGAAACGGCCAGUGUAACUCAUAUAUAUGAUGAAUUGGAGUAUCUUUCUAAACACAAUACGUAUACUAUAUAAGGGUCAAGAACCAAAACCCAAUUAUUUCAGUUACUUAUGUUGUAUAAAAGAAACAAAAGAGGAGUCACAAAGAAAAGUUUAAAUAAAAAGUUACUAAAUGUUAAUUUUUAGGGUUAUUGUAUUUCUGGUGAGUGAAGUAAUUAAAUUAUGGAACUUUAACGAAAAGCUCCUAGUACUGUUUAUUUUAACGAAAAACCAUAUUUUUACACUAAAAAGUUAAUCAUGGUACUAUUCACUUUACCUUUUAUUUUGUCCUUAUCGUUAAAACUUAAAGUUUUCAAGUCAUUUUCAUUAGUUUUCUUAUUAAUUAUUUGAAAGCAAAAUAGAUGGAGAGAGGUCAUUCAUUUUCUGGCCAGUGCGGACAGAGGCCGAAGUGACUUCCACGAGACGAAACUAUGUACCACUGAUUUUCAUUGCAUUACCAUAAACUUUUACUAAUUAUUGGCUUCUUUCACAUCUCUACUUAUUAAUAGCUUGUGGUUAAUCACAAAAAGAUAAAUCUAAUAGUUUUGUAAUAUUUCUUAACGUAAAUGUAAAUUAGAUUGGUUAAUUAAAAUAUUGUAUGGUUCUCUUUCACUCAAAUUUUAAUCUUUCUUUGUUCUCCAAUGAGAGAGUCAUCUAAAGUCCGAAGUUUGGAUCUCUCUGUUCAUAUAUAUAUUUUUUUCUUUUCGUAUAUUAAAUAUAGUCUUCUAACACAAAUAUUCCUACAUAGUCUUUCUAAAAAAGUUAGUACUUCUCAUAAUUAGAAAAGUAUUUUAUACGCGUUUGGCUGGAGAUUCUAGAGUGUACUACUAGCUAUAAUAUAAUUUUUGUCAAUGAGAUUGAUUUGGGCGGCAAGGGAAUUAUAUUGAAGAAGGAGAUAUACAAGACUUGUAGAGCUUGAAAUGGUUGACCCAAGAACUUGGACCUUUUCUUCUCCAUGCAUCAGUGGUCCUCUUGCUCGUCUAGUCAGGUUUUCACAAUGAAUUAAUUACAAAAAUAACAAAAAUUUCGAUGUAGGUUAUUAUUGGCUCCAUUUUAUAGCCCAGGAUUCCUCGAACAUUCUUCUUGAUUUAGACGUUUUUAGUGUAUUAUGAUUACCGUCAUAUGAUAUUAUUAUUUUACUUAAAUUAUAAUAUAUAUAUAUAUAUAUAUAUAUAUAUAUAUAUAUUAAUAUACCUAUAAGUGUGACACGUUUGUAAAAUCAUUUUGUGAAUGACAAUGAAUUAUGCCGAGAAUAAAUGAGGGAAUAAUUAACUUGGACAAUCAAGUUAAUGAAAUUCUCUAGGACUCUCGGUGCCUUAAGGAAAUAAACAUAUUGGAGUCCUAAUUAAAUGCGAUCAAUUAUGGACCUUUAUUAAAUAAAUACAAGGAGUAAGAGUCAUGAUGGGACUUUGAUUAAUUAGAUAUGGUUUGGGUUGAUAUCCUUUCCGAUAAUAGGGAGAAAUUGGUUGAAACCCUAGCUAUAUAACGUAAGAAUAGUCCCUACUUCCAUACCAAUUGAAACUCACGAAAACUACAUGCCUAUUUUGAUAGUAGAGUUCAUUGAGAGGUACUGGAAGUAGAAAACUACUUCUACUUUAUUCACUUUGUUCGCAAGGAUCAAUAGCUUCAUCUUCAUAACCAUGUCUUCCGUAUUCCACACAUAAGUUUAAUAUAAUUAGUCGAUCUCUAUUUUAUAUUGAUUUGAUUUAUUCGUGAUCAUAAUGUCUUGUUGUUAUGAUUUCAGAAUAUGUCUAACAUGUGGUAUCAGAGCCACACAACAAGCAUAGGGUUCGGAUGAAAGAGAGCCGUGAUAUAAUUCCAUUUGGUAUGAUUCCUAUUAACUAUAAUAUAUGGACUAGUCUGGGUGGUGACUAUGGAUACUGCUACCGCUAAGCAGGAACGGAGCCAAAAAUUUCUUCUAGUGGGGGCAACUGAAAACAACUAAGAAAACCGUAUUAUAUAUGGUUAUACGCAAUAUGAUAUUAAGGAUGGUUUUAAAUGAUGAUGUAUCACAAUUCCAAUGUUACAAAAAUUUCAAUAUAGUAGUGGACAGUAGCAAAGUGAUGAGAAAAAUAUAAGUACAUGAUAGGCGGGAGGGUUUUUUUUUGUUUGAAUGACAGAACAAUAGCACUAUUGCUCAUAUAUAAUAUUUGAUAUGGAGUAUAAGUAGAAUGAAUGAAUGUUGGAUAUUAGAUACAUAUAUUUUCUUCAAAGAUAACUGUAGACAUCGAAAUUUCGGUAAAUAAAUGUUGACCGAUAAAUCAAAGUUUCGACGCUCAUGUAUUACAUAAAUUCUACACGUAGCGUAUGUCUAAACAAAAAAAUCGAAAUAAGUUGGAAAAGUCAUCAAAUAGGACACGUGUCAACAUCUGGCAUAAAUGACUUAUUUCAUCUGGAAUAUUAUAUUCAAAAUUAGGCCUUGGAAAUUUCUAUAAAUAGAAGGCUAAUUCAUUCAUUUAGGGGAACCAAAAAAUCAUUAAGUAAGCUCUGAAGCUCUGAAACUCCGAAGCUCUCAAGCAUCCAGGUUCCCGAAGAAUCAAGAAAGCUCUCUUCGUUCUUCGUUCAUCGUUCAUCCUAAGAUCAAGCCCAAACGGCCAUUUGGAUCAACAAUCAUUCACCAAUUCAAGAUCAAGCCCCGACGGCCCUUGAAGAAAGUGUUCUUCGUUCUUCGUUCAUCGUUCUUCCAAGAUCAAACCCCGACGGCCCUUGGAUCAACAAUCACCAAUUCAAGAUCAAGCCCCAAAGGCCCUUGAAGAACUUCCACCAAUUUGAGAUCAAGCCCCUACGGCCCUUGAAGAAAGUGUUCAUCGUUCAUCAUCUGUUCAUCCCGAAGAAUCAAGAAAGCCUUCUUCGUUCUUCGUCCUUCGUUCAUCGUUCAUCCAAGAUCAAGCCCCGACGGCCCUUGGAUCAACAAUCAUCCACCUUUAAGAUCAAGCCCCGACGGCCCUUGAAGAAAGCCUUCUUCGUUCUUCGUUCUUCGUUCAUCGUUCUUCCAAGAUCAAGCCCCGACGGCCCUUGGAUCAACAAGCCACCGUUCUUCAAGAUCAAGCCCAAAAGCCUUUGAAGAUCCGUUCAUCACUGUUCUUCAAGAUCAAGCCCAAAAGCCCUUGAAGAUCCGCUCAUCACCGUUAUUCAAGAUCAAGCUUUAACGGCCCUUGAAGAAACAUUCAUCCUCAAGAUCAAGCCCCAACGGCUCCUUGAAGAUCCGCUCAAAUCCACCUUCAAAGAUCAAGCCCACGGCCCCUUGAAGAAACUUCCAACAGUUCAUCCAAGAUCAAGCCUCAAUGGCACUUGGAUCAACGAAACAUCCACAAAUCAACACCUUACGGAUAUCGAAUCAGAUGAUCAAAUUUGAGAGAGAUUGUAACCCAAAAUCAUCAAAAUACAAAUAUUUGUUUGUGCACGUUGUUCUUGUCUCUUUCGUUUCAGAAAAUUUUCGUGUUCACAAAUUGGCACGCCCAGUGGGACAAUCUCUACCUCUCAUCUCUUUCUUCGUUCAAGGAAUCCAAACACACCUUAAAGUCAAUGGCAUCAAGCAAGGGACAAACCGUUCUCGCAACCACUGAGGGAAGGAUCCUAAGCACUUCUGCCGCAAACGGACAAUCCAUUGGCGCCACAACCACUCUUCAACAUGCCACUUCAAAGUUUGUGCCGUUAAAGGAGCAAGGGGAGCAUCAAAGGCGACUGUCCGUCAUCAACCUGACCUCGUUUGGGGCACCGAAGCAUGAUGCUGAGGCACACAAGAUGACAACCCAAAGCAGCCAACGACGUUCUUCAUCAGCAUCCUGGAUGUCUAAAGGAAAGUCACGUCUAUUGGUCGCACAAGUUAUGACUAUCGGCGUUACCUCCAUCGAAUAACAACUGGCUCAAAUGAAUGAAACGAUUGCAAGGCUAACACAGAUUAUGGAAGAAAAAGACUUGCAAAUCGCUGCACUCGUCAGCCGACUGGAGCCACAGGACAGCGAGAACCCUAACCCAGAAGAUAAGCCUACGGUAGAGAGAAUCAAUGUGAAGCCAGAGCCAGACCAAGCAGCGGCACUCAUGGGAUCUCUUUCUAUCCAGCAGCUGCAAGAGAUGAUCACCAACACCAUCAAGGCACAGUACGAAUGGAGCUCAAAUACAUCCGGGUUGUACUCGAAGCCGUAUUCAAAGAAGGUCGACGCCUUAAGGAUGCCGAAGGGUUAUCAACCGCCAAAGUUCAUGCAAUUUGAUGGAAAGGGAAAUCCGAAACAGCACGUUGCCCACUUUGUUGAAACUUGCAACAACGCAGGGACCGAAUGGGACUACCUCGCCAAGCAGUUUGUGCGCUCGCUAAAAGGAAACGCCUUUAAGUGGUACACGGACCUAGAGCCUGAGUCCAUCAACAGCUGGGAGCAAUUGGAGCGGGAAUUCCUCAACCGCUUCUACAGCACCCGCCGCACUGUGAGCAUGCUAGAAUUGACGAGCACAGAGCAGUGGAAGGACGAGCCAGUCAUUGACUACAUCAACAGAUGGCGCACUUUAAGCCUCGACUGUAAAGACAGGCUCUUGGAAACCUCUUCAAUCGAGAUGUGCAUCCAAGGCAUGCAAUGGGGUUUGCAAUACAUCCUUCAAGGCAUUAAACCACGGACCUUCAAGGAAUUGGCCACCGCGCCCAUAACAUGGAGUUGAGCAUCACCCAUCAUGGGAAGAAGGAACCGAUCGCCGACUACAAGAACGACAAAGAUCUUGAGACAAAGGUGGAGAAGGUUACGGGGAAAUCUACCAAGGAAGCAAUGACAGUCAACACAGCUCCCGUCAAAAUCCCUACACGAGGCAAGGCGAUUCAAGCCGAAGGCUUUCGUGAUCAAGAGAUGCGUAAACGCACUUUGAAGGAGCUUGAGGAGAAAACUUAUCCAUUCCCCGACUCUGAUGUGGUUGCCAUGUUAGAAGACUUGCUGGAAAAGAAGGUGAUCGGCUUGCCUGAGUGCAGACGGCCAGAAGAGAUGAAUCGCACCGACAGUCCAAGGUAUUGUAAAUUCCACCGCUUCAUCAGUCAUCCGACAGAAAAGUGCUUCGUGCUGAAAGAUCUCAUCAUGAAGCUGGCUCAGAAAGGAAUCAUCAAGCUAGAUCUUGACGAUGUGGUGAAGUCAAACUAUACCACCAUCACUUCUGGUUCUUCCGACUCAAAAUUUUUACCUCAACCUCCGGGGGCAUCCUUCAAGACAAGCAAAGUUGAAGGAUGGACUCAAGUCACUCCUAAGAAAUUGCACAAGAAGCAUACGUCUCCUUCACAAGUCCGCCAAUCGGAAAUGGGGCAAAACAGCUCUUGUCAACCUUCAAAGCAACGUGAACGUGUUGAAGAUGAUGAAAUUACGACACAAAGAUCGUCUGUUGCCAUCACAAUGCGCGACUUCUUACCCGAAGACUUCUUCAAUCACGCGGUCAAGGCUCCUUAUUAUGAAGAUUGUGAGGAACGCCUUUCCAAAAUUGCUUGACAAAUUCACCAAUUCUCCUCGCCCGCACGAGUCUAAACUGCAUGGCACAAAGCUUCUGGUCUGCACGAGCAUAAAAGGCAACACCAAUGCUCCUUGUUCGCACGAGCCUAAACUGCACGAACUAAAGCUCAUUGCCCGCACGAGUCUAAACUGCAUAGCACAAAGCUCCUGGUCUGCACGAGCAUAAAAGGCAACAUCAACGCUCCUGACCCGCACGAAUACUUUAUUUCUUUAAAGGAAUGAGUUAGCAGGCGGCAUGGUCAGUGUGCACGGCGACGUCACCUCCGAGGAAAGUUGCAAUAAAAGGCACUACACAGCAUAAACUCGCUGCAGUCUUUUGCACAACCCCACACGAUAAAAGCGACGUACUGGAACGAGCUCCAAGCAGCAACAGCAGUACAUUCUGGCCACCAUGCUCCAAUCGACGAGGAAACUUCAAUGACCGCCGUCAAACGACUAGCCGGUCAUAAAGCUCGACGCUUUACAUUUUUGCCUCGAGCACAAAGCAGCAAGACCGUCGACACCAACUUCGUCACUUUAGCCACCAUGCUCCAAUCGACGAAGAAACUUCAAAGACCGCCGUCAAACGACUAGCCGGUCAUGAAGCUCGACGCUUUACAUUCUGCCUCAAGCUGCAAGCAGCAACGGUAAGCAGCAAAGCUGCCAGCACCAGCUUCGUCACUCUGGCCACCAUGCUCCAAUCGACGAAGAAACUUCAAUGACCGCCGUCAAAGGACUAGCCGGUCAUGAAGCUCAACGCAUUACAUUUUGCCUCCAGCUCUAAGCGGCAAGGGCAGCAGCAAGGCUGUCAACACCAGCUUCGUCACUCUGGCCACCAUGCUUCAAACGACAAAGAAACUUCAAUGACCGCCGUCAAAUGACUAGCCGGUCAUGAAACUCAACGCAUUACAUUCUGCCUCAAGCUCCAAGCAGCAAGACUGCCAGCACCAGCUUCGUCACUCUGGCCACCAUGCUCCAAUCAACGAAAAGACUUCAAUGACCGCUGUCAAACGACUAACCGGUCAUGAAGCCUCUACUGCAGUUCUCCGUCCGUCUGCAUCCUCCCUCUGCUCAAUCUUCUGCCCAUUGCCAAGCAACAUAUGGGGGUAUUUAUAGAAAAAAAAAGAAAAGGGUGAUGAUUUAAAAAAAACAAAUAAAAUAAAAUAAAAAGAUGGUGCGGUUUGCACCAUCUAAAAAGAAAAAAUAUAAAAUAAAAAAUAAAAAAUAAAUAAAUUUAAAAAAAGGGGGUGGUGCGGAUUGCACCAUCUGAAAAGAAAAAAAAAAAAAAAAGGGGGGGAUGGUGCGGAUUGCACCAUCUAAAAAGAAAAAAAAAAGUAUAAUAAAAUAACAUAUAAAAUAUAUAUAUAUAUAAUAAAAAAUAAUAAUAAAUUAAAAAAAAGGGAUGGUGCGGAUUACACCAUUGAAAAGAAAAAAAAUAAUAAUAAAAAAAUAAUUAAAAAAAAGGGGGGAUGGUGCGGAUUUGCACCAUUUGAAAAGAAAAAAAAAUAUAAUAAAAAAAAUAUAUAUAAUAUAUAUAUAUAAAUAAAAUAAAAUAAAUAAAUAAUAAAUUAAAAAAACAGGUGAUGGUGCAGCUUGCACCAUCUGAAAAGAAAAAAAAAGAUAUAAUAAAAUAAUAUAAGAAAUAUAUAUAUAUAAAAAUAAAUAAAUAAUAAAAAAAAGGGAUGGUGCGGAUUGCACCAUUGAAAAGAAAAAAAAUAAUAAUAAUAAAAGGGGGGAUGGUGCGGAUUGCACCAUCUGAAAAGAAAAAAAAAUAAUAUAAAAAUUAAAAAUUAAAAAUAAAAAAAUAAAUUAAAAAUUAAAUAAAUUAAAAAAUUAAAAAAAAGGGAUGUUGCGGAUUGCACCAUAUGAAGAAAAAAAAACAAAUGCAUUGAGAGAAAUAAAGUCCAUUUCAUUGAUUUCUCUGGAAAAAAUUACAGACGGAACAUUUACAUACCAAAAAAAAAAAAAAAAAAAAAAGGUGCAAACAAACAAAAGCCUUCAUUGAUCAGGUGGCACCUCAUCACUCGGCGGAACUCCAGGCAGAAGAGGAACCGGAGGUUGAUCAUUUGGAGCUUCAUUACGCGGUAUAGCCCCAAAAGACGAAGGCAAAUGCUGUUGGAACAAACCCACAAACCUUUGAUGAUCAAGUAAAAUCUGACCAUCAGAUUCCUGCAUCUGGUUAAUCUUCCUCUUCAUGUUUGUAGCAUAGCUAUGUGCAACAGUUUAUUCUCAUGCUUAAGCCCCCUAAUCUCCUGUUUGAGACUCAUCACUUCAGCCGCCAAGGAUUCAACUUGACGGGUUCGAGCAAAUAGGCGUUGGGCCAUAUUAGACACAGAACCUACACACUGCACACUAAGAGCCAGAGAAUCCUUAACAGCCAACUCAUCAGACCGUUUGGAAAGUAGUCUGUUAUCUCUGGAGUGACAAGGUUCCGGGCCACCACCGCAGCGGUCAUAUCAUUCUUCAUCACCGAAUCCCCAACGGUAAGAGGACCAGUAGGGGAUAUGAAUGAUGGGCGCCAUAUGUUGUCUGGAGAAGGCGGGACUGCCUCUUCACCAAGGUUCAAAUCAAGACAACGGUCGGAGGGUCCAGACAUUUUCAAAGGUGUUGAAGAAAGAAGAAGUCGGACAAAUCAAGAUCUUAGAAGUGCAAGAAGAGAGUUUUCUACAAGCAAAAAAUUCAAGUGUGCUUUGAAACGAAGUGCGUGCCUUUAUAAAAAUCAACACUCGACGGGAUUUCAGAAAUUGAAGAAGCGAGCUCAGAAUUCGAAGAGGCCAAUUCAAAAAUCGAAGAGGCAAGCUCAGAAAUCGAAGAAGCAUCUUGCUUUUCCAGACGCGUUAGCACCCGUCACGCGCAAACUCAGCUUUACAGAAAUCACGGGCAAUUUGUUAAAGCGUCAAUCCCAGAUAUCGAAGAGGCGCCAGUCUUUUUCAGCCUCGUCAGCACUCGUCAUGCGCAAACUCAUCUUUGCGGAAAUCACAGGCAAUUUGUCGAAGCGCCAAUCCCAGAUAUCGAAGAGGCGCCAGUCUUUUUUCAGCCUCGUCAACACCUGUCACAUGCACACUCAGCUUGGCGGAAAUUACGGACAAUUUGUCAAAGAUUUCUGAUAAAGAAGAAAGCACGUGAAGCCAUACCGAUCAAUCACGCAUUGGUUGCCGACACGAGUGAAAGAAUAAUACCUCUACAAGUAUUAAAAGACUUCCUAUAACUGUCCACCUUCACCUUCCAUAGCAAGGCAGACAUACAUAACCUUUCUUCAUCUCCGAGAACCUUUCUUCAUCUCCGAAAACCUCUCUUCAUCUCCGAGAACCUUUCUUCAUCUCCGAGAAUGCUUUCCCAACGAAGCCUCUCGAGUUACUCAGUGUUUCUUAUUCCUUGGGGUACCUCUGCAAACAAAUGACACCAAAGCAAAAGUAUCUCAUAUGAACAGGGUAGAAAGCAAGAGUAUCUCAUAUCAUGCUUUCUCCUCGUCCUUUCCUUUGUCCUUGUUCUUACCUGCAAAGACAAGGAUAAAGAAAACAAUAUGCCGGAACCUCCACUCAAACUCGGGUAAGGAACCGACUGCUUGGAACCCUUCACUGAUUGCCUACUUAGCACUGCUCUCGAGUACUCGUCUCUCACUGCUGCUGUACUUCCAAAGAAGCUGCCACAUCUGCCUGAAGAACAGAUAAGGCAAGUGAAAAUGAUACCUUGCAGCAUGUGGAAACAACGUGCAGAAGAAACAAGCAGAGAAGAAUGCAGCCUGCAUAGUCAACUUAGCAGAAGGAGUCUGAGAUGAGGAACUCGAGAAAAUGCCACAUCUGCCUGAGGAACAGAUAAAGGAAAUGAAAAUGAUACCUUGAAGCAUGUGGAGACAAGUGCAACAAAGCACGUGCUGAUUCAUCCGCUACUUCUUCAAAAUCAAAAGUAUCUCAUAUCAUCAGGGUUGCAAUCACUCUGGACGGUGAACUCGUUUUGACCCUCAAAUUCUUGGGUCGACUUACUAGGCGUUGUGGACUGCAUGUGCCGUUUCACCACCCUUGAAUCAAAUCCUUAAAGAUCAAGUCACCAACUGGAAGAAGAGCCCAUCAAUCUUGAAGAUCAUACCGUUGACCAAACUGCUCAGGUGUGAAUUAGAAAGAUUGAACAGAGCAACAAGUCGUCACCUUCACCUCGUGCCUGCUUGUCAUGUGUUCGAGUCAACCCUCAAGAAUCAAGCUUUAACGGCUCUUGAAGAAGCUUCCAGCCAAAUUCAAAAUCAAGCCUCGACGGCCCUGGAAAAAAUCACAAGACCGAUUCAAGAUCAAGUGUCCACCACCCUUGAAUUAAACCCAGUUCAAGAUCAAAGCUGUGGAAAGUCAACAAGCGCAAAAAACAAAUAUGUGCUAAUUCAUCCACUACCAAAGCCAAAGAUCAUCUACCACAUGAAGCUCUUUGUGGUCCAAAUUCAACCUUCAAGAUCAAGCCUCAACGGCCCUUGAAGAAAUCUCAAGCCCAAUUCAAGAUUAAGCCUCAACGGCCCUUGAAGAAAUCUCCAGCCCAAUUCAAGAUCAAGCCUCGAUGGCCCUUGGAUCGACAUCUACAGUAAGGGACUUCAAAACGCAUCUCCUACACGUGACAAGCACAUGUAUACGACACGCCUUGAAGUGGGGGCAUUUGUAGACAUCGAAAUUUCGGUAAAUAAAUGUUGACCGAUAAAUCAAAGUUUUGACGCUCAUGUAUUACAUAAAUUCUACACGUAGCGUAUGUCUAAACAAAAAAAUCGAAAUAAGUUGGAAAAAUCAUCAAAUAGGAUACGUGUCAACAUCUGGCAGAAAUGACUUAUUUCAUCUGGAAUAUUAUAUUCAAAAUUAGGCCUUGGAAAUUUCUAUAAAUAGAAGGCUAAUUCAUUCAUUUAGGGGAACCAAAAAAUCAUUAAGUAAGCUCUGAAGCUCUGAAACUCCGAAGCUCUCAAGCAUCCAGGUUCCCAAAGAAUCAAGAAAGCUCUCUUCGUUCUUCGUUCUUCGUUCAUCGUUCAUCCUAAGAUCAAGCCCAAACGGCCAUUUGGAUCAACAAUCAUCCACCAAUUCAAGAUCAAGCCCCGACGGCCCUUGAAGAAAGUGUUCUUCGUUCUUCGUUCAUCGUUCUUCCAAGAUCAAACCCCGGCGGCCCUUGGAUCAACAAUCACCAAUUCAAGAUCAAGCCCCAAAGGCCCUUGAAGAACUUCCACCAAUUCGAGAUCAAGCCCCUACGGCCCAUGAAGAAAGUGUUCAUCGUUCAUCAUCCGUUCAUCCCGAAGAAUCAAGAAAGCCUUCUUCGUUCUUCGUCCUUCGUUCAUCGUUCAUCCAAGAUCAAGCCCCGACGGCCCUUGGAUCAACAAUCAUCCACCUUCAAGAUCAAGCCCCGACGGCCCUUGAAGAAAGCCUUCUUCGUUCUUCGUUCUUCGUUCAUCGUUCUUCCAAGAUCAAGCCCCGACGGCCCUUAGAUCAACAAGCCACCGUUCUUCAAGAUCAAGCCCAAAAGCCUUUGAAGAUCCGUUCAUCACUGUUCUUCAAGAUCAAGCCCAAAAGCCUUUGAAGAUCCGUUCAUCACCGUUAUUCAAGAUCAAGCUUUAACGGCCCUUGAAGAAACAUUCAUCCUCAAGAUCAAGCCCCAACGGCUCCUUGAAGAUCCGCUCAAAUCCACCUUCAAAGGUCAAGCCCACGGCCCCUUGAAGAAACUUCCAACAGUUCAUCCAAGAUCAAGCCUCAACGGCCCUUGGAUCAAUGAAACAUCCACAAAUCAACACCUUACGGAGAUCGAAUCAGAUGAUCAAAUUUGAGAGAGAUUGUAACCCAAAAUCAUCAAAAUACAAAUAUUUGUUUGUGCACGUUGUUCUUGUCUCUUUCGUUUCAGGAAAUUUUCGUGUUCACAAUAACCCAUGUAUAUUAUAUAAUUGUAGUCUGCAACUAAACAAACGAAUUACUUGAGUGGAGGCGUUUGCCCCCAGUGAACCUUCAUUGGCUCCAUCCAUGCCGCUAAAUAGUAUUCAUGAAAUUUUAUUUUUCCCUUUUGGCUCUCGCUUAAUUAUUAGGAAUGGGUUUGUUUUGCUUUCAUGGAUAAGGCAUAAAGAAGUGAGUAUUUUCAGGUUUCUUUGUCUCCUAUAAUCCCUAAAAUUAAGAUAAAUAAAUAAAUAAAUAAAUAAAUAAAAUAUAUAUAUAUAUAUAAUAUUGGUUCGACUAAUCAUGCUCUAGUGAUAUGAUUCUGGUUUUUUUUUUCUUGCUUCCGCUUAUUGCCUUUAAAUUUUUAAAUUUGGUAAGUUUGCUUGUAUUCAUAUUAUUUUGAGUUGAUGGAUCAAAUUGACCUUAUGGAUACUGACUUCCUGGGUGAGCCAUUGUAUAGGAUUUCAUGAUUUAAAAUUCUGAAUUUGGAUGCCAUGACACUAACAUGUUUUAGGCAGGCACACAUGUUCAUUCAUAUCUUGGAUGAAUGUGUGAACUCAGUCUGCAUAAAUUAGAAAGGUUUGAGAACCCUUUUCAAUUCCCAAAUCUUGCGAUCCUAAGGAGAUUGAGCUAUAUGUACAUAUAAUAUCUCGUUCACAUGUUAAGUUUUUAUGCCCAGAAUUGGGGUUGUGAGGAUUUUCUUCAAUCACUUUUAAUUGUCGUUUGUUCUAAUCUGCUGCAUAAUUUUGAGUAAUGGAUUAAUAAAUCAAAUUUUUCCUUCAUUUGAUAUAUGUAAUUAGAUUUCAGUUCAUGUCUACUACAUUUGUCCUUUGUGUUUACUGAUAUUCGUCUUCAAACAUAAAAUUAGAUAACUUGAGACCCAAUUGAUUUUGAGAAAUUCCUCAAAUACACACAUUAAUGCCGUGGCCAUUUUGGUUUCACUUUUGAAGUGUUUUCUUAUCUUAGAAGUGAUUUUGAUAUAUCACAAUGGACAUGCUAAAGGUUGUUUUAAAAACAAGACUAUGAUGUUCUAUUUUUGUUUCUGAUCUUGAUAGACUUCCAUAACUCCAAAUAUUAUGAAAUUUUGUCAUUUUGUAAUAUCGAAUGAAUUAUAGACGCUGGUAUUUUUUUCUCAUUUUUUUUGACAAGAAAUGAAUUUAUGGUAAAUUUGAAGUGUUACACUAUGUUGCUGGAAUUCUGCACCAUAGUCUAUUUGUGACAGUAUUUUGAUAUAUUAUAUAUAUAUAUAUAUAUAUAUAUAUGUAACUCAUAAAUUCAGGAACUUUUAGUAUGAUAUACAUUGAGAUGUUUAUUUCAGGUCUGGAAAUUUUCAUGCACAUUGGUUUGAAAAUGACUUAUUGGUGAAUUUUUAACCUCGGGACUAUACUGCAGAAUUUACGCAGCUUCUGCAGCACAUUCCAUUUCGAUUUUAUUUUUAGCCCACUUUUAAGAUUGCAAAAAUUAUGGAACUUUGGGUGACAGUAAAUUUAUAUGUCUACUUCAUUUCUGGAAAUUUUCAUAAACAUUGGAGAAAAAAUUGAAUUUUUGGUGAAUUAUUUAGUCUCGGGUACGUACUGCAGAAGUUUUGCCGUUUCUGCAGCACAUCCCAUUUCUAAUUUUCUUUUAGUACACUUAUAAAAUCUCAAAAAUUAUGAAAUUUUGGGAAAUAACAUCUUUGUAUGUUUCCUUAUUUUUGAAAAUUUUCAUGCAUAUUGUCACAACCCGUCCCAAAAUAUUUUAUCAAUGGUGUGAAUUGACCAUUCUACCCUUAAGCGUUUCGUGGUGUUGUGUAGAUUGGACUAAGGAAAUAGGGGCCAAUUAGCUUUAUUCCUAAUUAAUUGGACCCAAUUAAAACUUAAGGACUUAAGGUUUGUUUUGAUUGGUGACCCAGCUGGACCACACACACUCACACAAACCCUUUCCCGUUGACCUUCUCUCUCUCCUUCCCUUGUAUUUUCUACCAUUUCCGUACACUUGUAUGGACAACACCCAAACCAGACCCUAUCUUCGCAGAUCGACGUCAAGGAGGUUGUUUUUGUGUUCCUCAUGAGUCCAGGUGGUCAUCCAUGCCCUUAGUUUGACGUGAAGACCUUGUUUUCCGAGAACCAGAAAUCCCAGUUUUGAUACAAUGUUCAUACACUUGUGAUUUCAAAGUUUUUAGGAGAUUUUAAGCUGCUAGUGAGCUUUAGGACAUCUUCACGAAGCUCGGAGAAGAAAAACGAAGUGUUUUGGACGUCGGGAAGUUGAGUUUGGCAAGUUUCAAGUUUGGCCGGAUUAUCGAUCGUUCUCCGAUGAAAUCCCGUGGAUUUUAGGGCUUUAAAUUGGUAAGGUUUUGCUCUUCUCGUUGUAAGCUUCAUUUUGGUACAAAUUUCAUGGAUUUUGGUAUAAAAAUGAAAAAGAUAUGAAGGUUCUUAUAUUUUCCAGUUUCCGGCAAUCGCAGCGGCGCCGGCGAAAUUCUCCGACAAACCAAGGAAGAUGAAGGAGAAUAUUCCAUCAAGUCUAAUAGAAUAUUCUAACGGCGUCAGGUAACACCGUUAACUUCUUUUAAGAUUUAACGGAAUGUUCCUAACGGCAGUUAAGUUUCAGUUAGGGUUUGGCCGCUCGUGGGGGGUGCGUCUGGCCGUGCCUUGGCCGGCGUGUGGGAGGUUGAAAAUUUUUCUAAAAAUAUGGGGAUGUUCCUGAGGAUGAGUAGAUCAUGGUGGUAUAUUCAAAUACCCCAUUUGAGCAAUGUAUGAAAAGUUAUUUUCUAGUUUGUGUAUGUGCUUUAAAUAACAUUUAUUCAGUUAUUUCGCAUAUAGGUGAGAACUAUCCUGAGGACGAGCGCCAUCAAUCGAGGCUUGGGGGCUACGACCCUUCGACAUACCAGUGAGUGGGCUUUUAGUUUUUCAUAUAUACCUAUAUACUUGAGAUUUUUCCUAGAAAAUGAAUUUGAAUGAUUAUACGUUUUGAAAUGCCAUGCAAAGUAUCCGCCUAUUUUAUUUAUGCAUUAGUAGUUGCAUGUAAUUAUGAUUAGUAGUUGCAUGUAAUUAUGUGAGAGAUGAUGUGAUGUUUUGAGAGCUCAUAAACUUGCACCUCGGUGUUAGUGUUCCCGCCCAGAGUUAAGGCACAGUCCUUCACGUGAUGUUCACCUCCCGCACCAUAUGCUCACCUUGGAUCCAAUUUAGGUGCACAGGCUUGUCGUACAUACCACUUUAGGUGGUUCCGACUCGUAGGUGACCCGCGAUCAUUCGCACAGCCUCCAUGUGAUUGUAGCACUAGAGCAUAUUUACUUUACACCUAGUCUUGUCGUACAUACCACUUUAGGUGGUUCCGACUCGUGUGCAUGAUUUGAUUGAUAUGAUUGAGAUUGGUUAUGAGCUAUAUACUCAGCCAUGCAGAUUGAUUUAGAGGGAUUUGGCUGAUGCGAUAUUUGACAUUGAUAUGUUUUGCUUGGAUUACUUAUAGCAUUGCAUUGAGAUACUUUGGCAUGGUAUACUUCUAUGGAUUUUCAUCUUGAAUAUAAUUUCUGAUACAACCUAUUAUUAUUAUUAUUAUUAUUCUAGGAAGUUAUACAGGUUUUACAGCGAGGGGUUAGAACUUUUGAGAAAUGAAAUGAUUUUGAAAAGUUUUGUUUUUGCCCACUCACACUUUCUGUUUUGAGCCCAUCCAGGUUUUAGGUAGAAGUGCUUUGAUGGAUCACGAAGAUUUCGACGGGGGUUCUGACAGAACAUCAUAAAUGUAGGAUCACCCUUGAAUGUUUUAUAAUUAGUACUUAUCCUGCUUGAUUGCACUUAGACUAUUUAUGCUCUGGUUAUGUAUUUCACACUUAAUCUCGCACUAGCACUCUAUCUUAGCUAGUACUGCUAGUAGUUGGUUUUUAUUCAGUCGUAUUUCCCUUGUAUCUCUUUUGCUUCCGCACUGUGCACAUGGUUACGUCACUCUCACGUGAUGACCAGCAUGCCUUGAUUUAGGUCGAGGUGUGUCACAUAUCGGUUGAACAAAGAAUAUUUAGUGAUAUUUUAAUCUCAGGUAGCUAUUGGAGAUUUUGUAUAGUUUAUAUAGCACAUCUUUUUUUCGAAUUUGUUUUUUUUUUUACUCUCUUGUACAAUUUAAAAAUCAUGAAAUUUUUCAAAAAAAGUAGUCAUAUAUGUCUAGUGCAUACCUAAAAAUUUUUACGACAAUCUAAAGAGAAUUGAGUUUUUAGUGAAUUUGCAAGCUAAAGUAGUACUAAUGAAUUUUGGCACUUCAAAACUAGUUUUGUUAUGUGAUAUUGUUUCACUGAUUUGUGCACAUCUAUUAAUACCGAUUAUUGUACAAAUUUAUGGGUCCAAUAUGUUCUUAUUUUAUGCAAAUUCUCAAUAAUAAUGGCUUUUAUUAGAUAACAUUGAUUAAAUUUUGAUUUAAAGAUGUAUUGGUUUAUUUUGCUUAAACCAAUGUUUUUUGUUUGGUCAUCAAUUUUGAUUAUGAUGAUAAUUGUCUUUUGAGAUAAAAUUGGAAAGUGGCAUCAGUUUACUAAUUGAUCAUUUUGAUCCCUAUCGAAUAACUGAAUAACCAUAUUUCCUCUUUUGAGAACUCUAUUGUCCAAUGUCAAUAACGACAUACUUUUGUGUUUGAUUUAAUCUUUUGAGAAUUAUUGAAUAUCCAACAAAACGGUUAUUUAAUAUUGUUCUAAAGGAUUAUUUUGAAAAAUCAGAAUUCUAAUUUAUAUGGUGAAUACUUUUGCCCAAUGGAAAUUUUAGGAAAUCACUCACCAAUUAUAAAUUAGUACUAUAACAAAUCAUAAAGUACUUCCAACAUAUUUUCAUAUGGCCAAAACUAUUGAAACUAUAUGUAUUUUGUGUAUUUUAUGUUUUGGCAAGCAAUGCAGGUAUUUUUCACAUGAUUUGUUUAUGCCCAAAUGUGUAACAAUCAUGCAAUUUGCAGUUGGUUCGACGAUUCUCCAAAACUCGAUUACAUCCAUUGUGUAUUUUGCAGAAUCAAGAACGAAAUAGGUAAAUGUGUCAAUCUUUUGCCUUAAUUUUCUCUGGCUUCUAAAUUAAUUAAUAUAUGGGUACAAAUUAAAACUAAAAAGAAAAUUGGUACAAAUUAAAAAAGGUUUGCAAAUUAAAAAUGGGUACAAACUAAAAAUAAAAAUAUAUGAUAAAAAAUUUAGCCAUAAAUAUAAAUAUACUAAUUGUAACAUUUUUAACACUAAAUGAAUAUUUUUAGGUAAAAAUAUUUUAUUAUUGAAAUAAUUAAUGAUAUUAUUAAUACCUAAGGACCUUGAUAAAAAAUUGAAAAUGAAUAAGGUUUUAAUCAAUGAAAUAGCAAAAUGAGGGAUGAGAACCUAAUUUCUCCUUGUAUAUACUUCAUAUGCUCAAAAGUGUUGAAACUAUAUUGUAACAUCUCACAUUGCCCAGGGGAGUGGAUCAUUUAUGCCUUAUAUGUAUAUUCUCAUCUCUACCUAGCACGAGGCCUUUUGGGAGCUCACUGGCUUCGGGUUCCAUCGGAACUUCGAAGUUAAGCGAGAUCGCAGCGAGAGCAAUCCCAAGAUGGGUGACCCAUUCGGAAGUUCUCUUGUGAGUUCCCAGAAACAAAACCGUGAAGGAGUGGUUGGGGCCCAAAGCGGACAAUAUCGUGCUACAGCAGAGUCGAGCCCGGGAUGUGGUGGGUGUCCGGGCCGAGAUGUGACAUAUAUACGUUUGCCCUUGUAUUUUAUGUUUUAAUAUAAUUAGUUGAUCUCUAUUUUAUAUUGAUUUGAUUUAUUCGUGAUCCUAAUGUCUUGUUAUUGUGAUUUCAAAAUAUGUCUUACAUCGUUCUCCAUAAUUUGUACUGUAAUGAGUUUGCAUCUUCGAGAGGACCACCAAAAACAAAACUUAAUCUGGUGAAAAUAUAGGUAAUCCAUAAGGAAACUACAUUUUUAAUUAAUUCUUUCUGAUUUUUUUUACAUUUAAUAAAUACAUGUAUAGCUUCAAACUAAACUAAUUAACAACCAGUAGCCAAAAAAGAUUUGAUUGCACCAAACAAAAAUGAUGUUUCCUGAAUUAAAAAGAGUAGUAAAGAUUAAACAAAAACAAAUAUUUUGUUCAAAUCUCAUAUAGAUUGAAGCCUGCUACCCGAAAUUUGUGGAGGUUCAAAUCGAGUAACCGGCACAGAUGAGUUAGAUGAGCAUUAGUGCAGCAUAUAGAGAAACGUAAGUUCGAUGAUUUGACUCACUACCAACCUAACAUGCAUGAUGCAAAAGCUUUGACACAAUUUGUCCUUCUGAUUCGUCCACAAUAUCUUCAUUUGUGAACUAAUUAAAAACUUAAACGAGCUAAUAGCUAGGUAUGUAAACAAGGCAUGAUUUAUUUUCGUAGGGAGAUUCGAGAAGCUAGAUUUGCCACCCAACUAAUUCUUAAUUACUAAUUCCUAAAUAAUUAAGAGACUAUUAUUGUGUGACAACUGACAAGUUGUUGAAGAGUAGUGCAUGUAAAGUUUCUAACCUAAAUCCUUACGUAAAAUCAACAAACCAAAGUAAUUAUAUUACUAAUUUUGGUGCUAGAUCGAUGUAGGUGUAUCUAAUUAACUAACAUUUGUUGAAGUUUUUUUUUUGUGAAAAUUUACUUAUUACUCAUUUGUCCCACAUUGGUCAAGUUGAAACCUUUCUCACACUUCGUAAUACUUUGUCAUUCUUACCAAGUGAUUGGUAAAUGGAUUUUGGAGAGGAAAUUUGGGCUUAAACCUUUGGUUUGUGUUUUGGAGUGUGAUAAUUAAUAUAUAUAACACAAAAAAUGCAUCUCUCCUACUAAAAUCCCACAACCUGAGUAAGGACGAAAUUCUCUUUCAAAAACAUUGCGGUACGCAAGCCUCGAUCAUUAUAUUGUUUGUUUAAUAUUAAUUUCGUUCAUAUAUAUUCAGUCAAUAUACUUAGUGGCAAUUUAUUGUUUAUUAGCAUAUAAUACUUGUAUAUUAUAUAUAUAUAUAUAUAUAUAUAUAUAUAUUUGUCAUUGAUUAUUGAUAAAUAAUCAAAAAAUUUGUGUUAGCUUAAGCUCAUUCUUUUACUGCCUGUGAGAUAAUAUGACCAACUACACGAGGACUACAUAGUAUCAACAAAUGUAUGGUUAAAUUGACAAAAUAAAAUACGAUAUAUAAUAAACUGUUGUAGAAUGUAUUGCAUAAUGUAUCGAAUAACUGCUCGAAAAAUGCAAUUCAGUUGUAAAGUCCAAGCAUUGCAGAUUUGGACUCUAGUGUUCUAUCUGAAGGCAUGACCCAUCAUAUUGCCACACUUUGCCAUGUUGUCGGACAUCAUUAGAGAUGUUAUGAUAUUCCACAACUUGAUUAAUUAAAAUUGUGAUCGGAUAACUUUAUUGUAAUAUGAUUUGUCUAGGAAAGACUCAAGUUUUGAAGUUAGCCAUCUACUUUCAUUAUCUUUAACGAAUGGAUAAUAUAUUAUAAAGGUGUAAUUUCUUUAAUUAAGCAAGUAGGUUUGUGUGGGUUGUCUUGAAAGCAACUUAGUUGUUCAUGAAGAACGAUUAGGAGCAUAAACCACCGUGCCUACCGUAAAGGAUGGAACUAGAAAUUUCGUUUAGUGGGGGAAGAUAAAAAAUAAUAUUACCAAACUUAUUAUCUUAUGGCUCAUACCCAAAUUGAUGAUGCGGAUGAUAUCAUAUGCUAUGAUGUAUCACAAUUUUAAAGGGACCUGGAUUGUCUGCUCUCCCCAUCCAAUACAAUUCCCGUCCUCUUGUAUUUAUGUGGUUACGGUUAAACCACGUCAACAUUUUAUAUUGAUUUUUUUAUAGAAAUAAUAAGCAAAAAGCAAUGAGAAUAUAAAAUGUUGACGUGGCUUAACCGUGAUCACAAAAAUAUGAAGGAAUGAGAAGAGUAUGAGAUAGGGGAGGGCAGACAAUCCAAGUCGAUUUUAAAGUUAAAAAAGUUUCAUUCUAGUAGUGAAAAAGUGAAAGUGAGAGAAAUAAUACAUGAGAGGCAAAAGAACAACUUUCUCUCUCUACUUCAUUAUAUUCUUCUUCAUCUUUACAAUAUAUUUGUUCAAAUAUAUACAACUGCAGGCUGCAGCUUAAGAUCGAAAUUACUUGAUUGGAAGCAGUUGCUCCGAGUGGACCGCUUCAUCCAGCGGCCCUACUGGUCACUACAUGGGUAGUACUGCAGCCUCCUUAUCCCUGCAAAUGUACGUGCACAUGUAUGAAAUAAGUUAAUUGUACUUAAUUUUUUGUAUUACUAGUGGUUUUUUAUCUAUCAAAAUAGCAAAUUUGGACUACAACAGUACAUUAAAAACAUUUACAAGACAACAAAAGAAACAACUUAACAAAAUAUAUUAGCUAUGUAGGGUUUGCGUGUAUGUGUAUUAUUGAUUAACAUCAAUGUCAUUUUCAUUAUUCAAUUACAAAGAAUUUUUCUUCUGAAUUUUUUUUUCUUCAUUUAACAAGCGAUAGUGAAAAUGAAAAUGAUUGAACCUCGCUAGGACUUCCAAUGUGGCGACCACUUGAGCUAUAAAUUUAUUUUCUUUUCUUCAUUAAUAUUAUGUUUCACAAAAGUAUAAAAUAAUAUAGAGACUGGUGGUUCUCAUUCAAGGUAUGGCCAUCCAUUUCACCUGCCUUUUGUGUUACAUAAUACUAAUUGUCAUAAACAUUAGACGGUCUGAAUUUAUAAAAUCAAAUAAUUUGAAAGUUCAUAUCAUUCCAUACUCGUAACAUUUAAUGUUAUAUAUAAACGAAGAAAGUGAAAAGUAUGAAAUGAUAUAUGAAUGGCCAAUGAACAGUGCUUUUCUUCGGUCGUCUUUCCAUCUUUGGGACCAAGAAAGCAACUUCUAGUUGAUUAGAUGGAAAAAGAAAAGAUUUCUAAAGAACACGUAUUAUAUUUAAAUAGUACUCUUAAUAAAUAUUUCUUUUUUGUGAUGUCGACUAGUAAAUUAAGCAAAAAGAAAGAAAAAGAAUAUUUGAUUUCCUUUUUCUUUUUAUCAAAGUGAAAAAGAAGACAAUUAUAAGUCACUACUCACUAGCAAACUUAUUAUGAAAGUGAAAAGGCAUGAAUGUAUUAUGCUCCAGAAGUCAUGCGUGCCUAAAACAUUACCCCACUUCCAUUAUUUGAUUUUCUUUUUCUUUUCAUCAAAUUGUAUUCUAUUUUAUUUGCCAAAGUCUGGGGUGUUUCCCACUUCGAAAAAUAGGGCUAAUCUUCAGUAAAUUCCAAAGGAAAAAGAUUCUUUUAUCUUCUUUUGUUUCUUCCCUUGCUUUUCUUUCUAUUUGAACGGUUAUAGUUAAAUCACGUCAACAUCUUAUAUUAAUUUUUUAUAAAAAGAGAAAGACAAAAUAGAGAGCGUGAGUAGGGGAUGGAAGGAGAUGGAAAGAGGAGGGAAGAGAAUCCUAGUUCAAUUCUAAAACAGAUAAAAACAUUUCAGUCCACCCUUUACAAAUUGCACUAUUUGAUUUCAACUUUGUCAUAUUUGUUGUAAUUUUUUUAGUCCAAUAUCGAUAUUAUCUAUACUAAGGAUUUAGGGAGUGGUAUUGCUAACGUGAUUCAAAUUCGCUUUUGACAAGAAUCAAACUUAAAACCUCUCACUUACAAAUGAAGAUGAAUAUUUUCAAACCGUAUUAUUAAAGGACCAUAUUUAUUGCAAUUAGACCGCUUGGUUAUGUCGACAUCUUUGCACGAUUUGUCAAACAACCCAUUUGGUUUAUUGGGCAUAUGUCUACACUAUGGGGUAAAAAAGGGAGUUAAUCCUUACAAUGAUUAGAUAAAAUGUAUUUCAAUUUAUUUUGACCAAAAUCAAACAUAAAAACUCACAGUCACAUAUGAAGAGGAAUAUCACUAUAUCGUAAUAUUAAGUGACAAUUUUUUAGAAUACUUAAACACAGUCACACGUAUCUAUCUUGUGUCAUUUAAAUAAUAAUUUAAAAGUGAAAUUAUCAAUUUUGUCAUUUAUCUUUAUUAUGAAACAUGAAAUAAUAUACUGUGUAGUUUGUGUUUCUGUAAUCAUAAAAAUUUAUGCAUCAUGGGGUACGUAUAGUUGGUGUGUGCAAAUAUUAAAACAGAGUUGAGAAUCUUCAUAAAUAAAUAAUAGGGGUUUAAGUGCUUUUGCUGCAAGCACUUACAUGAUUUUAGCACCGCUUAAAUUUGGACAAUUGUGAGGACCAGGAGCAUGGUAUGCAACUGCAAGAAUUGUGAGAGCUCCAUGUGUCCCCCCAGCACAAUGCAAGUGUGCCACAUACACCUUCCCUCCCAUUUGCAGGGUCCCCAGAUCGAUUCCAUUCUCGGAAUAAUCAAAAGACAUCACAUGAUCUUCUCUAAACACUUUGUAGAUCUCAACUAAAUUAAAAUAUUUUAAUAAACCCCCCUUUUUCAAUUGUUACAUGAAAUUUACUUUACAGUUUGGUAUUUUCAUAUAAUUGGGGCACACGUAGGGGCACGUAAUAGCUUGUGAUUCAACAACACUUUGUGUUUAUAAUUUUAAUUAUUUAGAUACGUGUCUAUCAGAUUGCUUAAGGGAAGGGAUUCCCAUUUUUUGAAAAAAAUGGGGAUUAGGUGUGGGGCCCACUCCACAUCGAAUUUCAACGAUUUGAACCGUCUAUUUUGUUAGUCUCGAUUCAUAGAUCAUCCUUGCAAAAAUUCAAUUCAAUCCGAAACCGUUUGCCUAUUUAAUUAUCAAUAUCAAAUUUCAUUUUUUCUUAUAUAACAAAGUAUUUGUUCAUUUCCUUAAACCCAAUUAGAUGUCUUAAACAUUUCCGAUUUAGCUAAUAUUUUGUAAGGAUGAUCUAUGAAUCGAGACUAACAAAAUAGACGGUUCGGAUCGUUGAAAUUCGAUGUGGAGUGGGCCCCACACCUAAUCCCCAUUUUUUUCAAAAAAUUGGGAUCCCUUCCCUUAAGCAAUCUAACGUGUCUAUUUAUGAUUGAGUAAAAAUAAAAGUUGUUAAAUUUAUAGCAACCAAGUAGUGUUCCACAUAAUUUCUUGAAUGAAUAACAAUACAUCCUAUUAUUUUUUUUGUUUACAAACCAAUGACAUGAAUCAGUUGUUCAUACUUACACAUGCUUAACUAUUUCAAAAGUGAGACAUUUCAUGAACUCUUUGUCACCUUAUGUUUUAACAUAAUAUUUUAUAAUGUUGGCACGGUAACGUUAAAUUGCGAGAUGACUUAUAAUUCAUAUAAAGUCUCACUUUCAUCUAUGCUACACAAGACAUGUUAAGGGAAUUCUGUCCAAAGUGGAACUCUUCAUAAACUCUCUACCACUUCACAGUUUAACGUCUACUCUCCUACCAACAUUAUAAAGUAUUGUGUCUGUUGAUGCACAAAAUCAGUGGGGACUUUGGUACAACAGAAAGUGUUAAGUUUGUGACCUUAGCUAGAUUGAUCCGGUCACUAGUGUGGAUAAGUAUGUAAAUGGAUAGAGACAGGGAAGCAAACACAAGAUGUACGUGGUUCACCCAGAUUGGCUACGUCCACGGAGUAGAGGAGUUCUCAUUAAUUGUGAGGGGUUUACACAAGUACAUAGGUUCAAGCUCUCUUUUAGUGAGUACUAGUUAAUGAUUUAGUACAAAUGACAUUAGGAAAUAUUGUGAGAGAAUCAUCUAUAUUUAUAGAAGAGAGUUUCUAGUUUCAUUCUGACAUUGACACGUGUCAUGUUGUGAUUGGCUUCUGAUGUUGACACGUGUCGCGCUAUGAUUGGCUUCUGAUGUCGACAAUGUCGCGCUGUGAUUGACCUCCUGGUUGGAGGGAAACUCUUCUAGGUCCUUGAUAGUAUAACGUUGACCGGUGCUCAGUAGUUUCGGGAUUAGUCAAGUAUGGUACAAACAGUGCUCCCCUAAGUUCUCGAGUGAAGGAAGUUCCUCGGUUGAGGACUUGCAAGAUCCAAGCCAUUGAGUAAUCACAAAACUUCUAAGUACCGAAGUGUGGUAUCAUUUUCACUUGCCUUAUGUGUCUCAUACGUAGAUGUGACAUUUUCUCUGGAAGUACUUUUCCUCCAUCCAGGGGUGAUAUCUUUAACCGAUGAAGAUGCACAAGGUAAUGUAUCAAUUUCACUUGAAGCUUACUUGUAGUUUCGGGCUUGGUCAAGUGCGAUACAAAACCCUACAGUAGGAGUCCCCCAAGUCGCCGAGCUAGGAGAUUUGCCGAAAGAGGUAACAAACAAGGUAAGCAAUCAGACUUCUAAGCAAGCAAUCUGGAUCAGAGGUUUGACUUCGGCUUCCGGUUGAUUGUUCUUCUUCUCCUUGUGUCGUAAACAGCAACAAGGAUAAGGAGAAGCAAAUGGAGAAGAGAUGAUAUGAGAUACUUUUGCUUUUGAAGAAGUAACUUUCCACAAGCUUAUUCUUGAAUUGGGCUUGAGGGUUUUCUGGUUUCCUCCAGAGUAUAAGGCCGACUCAAGAAUUUGAGGGUCAAAACAAGUACAUCAAAUCAAUAGUGCGUUCGACCUUAAUGAUAUGGGAUACUUUUGCUGUUGACGAAGUAAUAGAUGAAUCGGCAUGUGUUCUGUUGUGCUUGUCUCCACAUGCUUCCUUGUAUCCUUCUCACUUGCCUUAUAUGUUCCUCAAACAGAUGUGGUAUCUUUUCUGGAAGCAUAAGAUGUUGAAGAAGAGCACUCGAGAGCAAUGCCAGGUAAGUAGUCAGGCAAGAGGUUCCAAGCAGUCAGUUCCUGACUUGAAACUUAAUUCCAAGUGCUGACUGAUUGUUCUCUUUCUCUUUGUCUUGCAGGUAAGAACAAGGGUAAAGGAAAAGAUAGGGAAAAAGCAUGAUAUGAGAUACUCUUGCUUUUGACCUUGAUGAUAUGAGAUACUCUUGCUCUGGUGUGGCUAGUUUGCAUAGGUAUUAUUGGGGGGAAGAAAGCUGAGUAUUUCGAGAGGCUUCGUUGGGAGUGCCCUCUCAGAUAUGAGGAAGGGUUGAGCAUUUUUGCAGAUCUGCCUGUCCGUGGAGGAUGGAGGUCGACAUAUAUAGGAGUUUCCCUAACAACAAGUAGUAAUGCUAUUCCUUUACCCUUUUUGGUUGUAGCAAUGUAGUGGGAGCUGCAAGCUUCACGUGUUUUAACUUUGUAAAAGCACUUUGAAAAAAUGGUAUGCGGUAUCUGGAAAACUGGUGUUGCGUGUGAAUAUUGCAUACAAGCUUUAUCCAAGGAAAUCUGAUUCUCGAAGUUCGGAGAGCGAUGCCUCUUCGGUUUUCAAACAAGCAAUCCUGUCGGGGAUCUGGCUCUCGAGAUUCGGAGAACAGUGCCUCUUCGAUUUUUGCGAAAGCAAUCAUGUUGGGAGUUUGGCUCUUAAGAUUUGAAGAGAGGUGCCUCUUCGAUUUUUGAGAAAGUAAUCCUGUUGGGAGUCUGGCUCUCGAGAUUCGGAAGGCGGUGCCUCUUCAAUUUUUGAGCAAGUAAUAAUGUUAUUCCUUUACCCUUCUUGAUCAUAGCAAUGUAGUGGGAGCUGCAAGCUUCACAUGUUUUAACUUUGUCAUAACGCUUUGAAAAAGUGGCAUGCGGUAUCUGGAAAGCUGAUGUUGCGUGUGAAGAUUGCAGACAAGCUUUAUCCAAGGAAAUCUGAUUCUUGAAGUUCGGAGAGUGAUGCCUCUUCGGUUUUCGAACAAGCAAUCCUGUCGAGGAUCUGGCUCUCGAGAUUCGAAGAACAGUGCCUCUUCGAUUUUUGAGCUUCUAGCUCAUUGACUUUAGCUUGAAGAGCAACCCUCUUUCCUUCAUUCUUUCGUUGUUUCGCACUAGGUGCAAGAGGGGUGUCAUUCUGUGUGUUGUGGCUUCCUUCGCUCUCCAUGUUGGAGAUGGAUGCCUGGUCAAAAGAAAGCGUACGAAUUGUGGAAACCAGCUUGACAAAGCUGAAGAGAGUGGGAAUAAGCGUCGUUCCCACAGACGGCGCCAAAUCUUGAUGCACAAAAUCAAUGGGGACUUUGGUACAACAGAAAAUGUUAAGUUUGUGACCUUCGCUAGAUUGCUCCGGUCACUAGUGUGGAUAAGUAUGUAAAUGGAUAGAGACAGGGAAACAAGCACAAGAUGUACAUGGUUUACCUAGAUUGGCUACGUCCACGGAGUAGAGGAGUUCUUAUUAAUUGUGAAGGGUUUACAUAAGUACAUAGGUUCAAGCUUUCCUUUAGUGAGUACUAGUGAAUGAUUUAGUACAAAUGACAUUAGUAAAUAUUGUGAGAGAAUGAUCUCUAUUUAUAGAAGAGAGUUUCUAGUUUCAUUCUGACAUUGACACGUGUCGUGUUGUGAUUGGCUUCUGAUGUCGACACGUGUCGCGCUAUGAUUGGCUUCUGAUGUCGACACGUGUCGCGCUGUGAUUGGUCUCCUGGUUUGAGGAAAACUCUUUUGGGUCCUUGACGGUAUAACGUUGACCGGUGCUCAGUAGUUUCGGGAUUGGUCAAGUACAGUACAAACAGUGUCAAAAACAUAAAAUGAUAAAAAGAGCUAUCGAAAGCUCCAUUUUAAGAGAAUCCCCUUAGCAUUACUCAUGUUAAAAUCUUUAGUAGCAAAGUGAUACCAUGUUCUAUGCAACUUCAAAGAUUGCGAAUUUGUUCACAAUCCAAUGCACUUGAACGUACCGUGUAAAGAUGUGUCAUAAAAUUCUUCAAACCGAAUGGGUUACGGAAUUAUUAACACUAAUUACCAGCUAAUCUACGCAUUAGAGAAAUUAAUUAAUUUAUCAUUAUCUCAGAAAAUAUCUCUGCAAAAUUAAACAGAAAAAAAAUUAAAAAAACAGAAAUUUAGGAAAACAAGGGGCUGAUACAUAGUAUUUAGUAAAUUGGAAAAGAUUUACAGCGGGACGUGGAACAUGGAAGUGCGUGCGCGUGUCAAAGCGGAAGUACGUGGGAGACUGAGACCGCUUGACUACGAUCUAAGAAGUUGUCAGAUAAAACGGUCCCCUUUUUCGUCGUUUUAUAUUUUAAUUAUUUUAUUGGUUGUCGCGUGACUGAGUCUCUGCGGGCUGCACUGCCCAUAGCUUCGCGUCGAAACCGUUAUUUUCUUAACCUGCGCCCCCUGUUUAUUCUAACCAAACCCCCAACUGUUCACUUUGGUUAGGUUAAUCUUUUUGCUGAAUACUCCCCAAACUGUCUGGUAUUUAACCCUUUUGCAAUUGUAUCCUUUCUUCCUUAAGGAAUCUUUUGAUUAUGUGGCUAAUUACAAUUUACAAUUAGGCAGGUGCUUUGUACUUGAUCAAAAGCUUUUAAGGAAUAAUUGCAUUUAAUUUAAUAAAAAUCCAAUCCAAAUUCAUUAUGCCCAGAAAUAUUCACAUGCGUGAAUGAAUAAUAUUUUAAUUUUCUUGCUUGCACUUUAUGUUACUACACAAAAAUCAAUGAUUAAUUCCCCAAAAUAAAUUAUUAUGAUUUAUGCAAUGACAAUGUGAUUAAGAAUAUUGUCUAAAUCACAUACAACCAUAUAAGAAACUUAUAACAAAUAUACGUUUAAAAUGAAAUCGAAAUACCAAUAAAAUGCUAUCUCAAUUUUUUGAAAAGAACUAUCGUGACAUUUAGAUCUUAUGAUCAGGUAUUGUAAAAAUCAUGUUGCAUACAAUGAAUGCAGACAAAAAAUUAUGUCCAAUUGGCUUACUCCUGUUCAAUUAGUAAGUAGUUAAAAAUACGAUGAAAAUGAUAAAAAUUACAUACUAAAUAUAUUGUUCAAUCUAAAAGUUGAACGUGAGUUGAAGAAUUAAAAAAAAAAAAGUGUAAAUAUCAUGUUGAUUUACCUCUUAAACAAAGAGUAGCGUUUGUCGACCUACCGUAUCGUUUAUAUGCAUGGACCAACUCAUUGGAAUGGAAUCAAUAGCAUAUAUAGUUAACGAUCAAUUACAAUAUAAUCAAUAAAUAACACGCGUUGCAGUCGUGUAGCCCACAACACAAAUAACCAAAAAUGUAGGGGCACGAAUGAAAAUAUCGAAAUAAAGAAGGGAAGUAUCGCGGGAGCUGGAGCAUCUUCUCCUCCCCAUUCACUAUAAAUAGAUAACUCGAGUGAAGCUAGGUUUGCCGAAUUGGGAAGCGAAACGCAGCUUACAAGAAAAGAAAAACAAAACCCUCUCUCUUCUCUUUCUCUCUCCUCUGGUCUCCAAAUCUUCUCACUUUCUCUCUCUAAAACCUCAGCCUGAUCAACAACCAUGGCAGCAACUUCAAGAAGAUCCUCAAGCGGCUGCGGCCCAGUCCUCCGCUCCGCUCCACCACCCGCCGGAAGGUUCCAAAGCACUCGGUAUUCCUCUUCCUCCGCCUUUGCUUCCUCCACUUCCAGCUUCACCUCUCGCUCCUCCACCUUCUUCAACCGCACCGUCUCCCCCCCGCGCCUCAACGUCGCCACCGCCUCUCCCUCCGCCCAGUCCGUACGUUUCUCCUUCGACCGCCCAACCUCCCCCAGCCGAUCCAUCUCCGUCUCACCACGCGGCACCGGCAGCCACCACCACCACCACACCGCCGUCCCCAGCGGCCGGAAUAUCAGUCAGCCGAAGCGAACCUGCAUGUGUUCCCCUACCACACACCCCGGCUCCUUCCGCUGCAGCCUCCACAAGAAC
rnacentral:lncRNA from 1 species